UACGAGGGGGGCAAGCGUUGUUCGGAAUUAUUGGGCGUAAAGGGCGCGUAGGCGGUUUGACAAGUCUGAUGUGAAAUCUAUGGGCUCAACCCAUAGCCUGCAUUAGAAACUGUCGGGCUUGAGUAUGGGAGAGGUGAGUGGAAUUUCCGGUGUAGCGGUGAAAUGCGUAGAUAUCGGAAGGAAUACCUGUGGCGAAAGCGGCUCACUGGACCAUAACUGACGCUGAGGCGCGAAAGCUAGGGGAGCAAACAGG
rnacentral:rRNA from 1 species